rnacentral:rRNA from 1 species
AGUUUGAUCCUGGCUCAGGACGAACGCUGGCGGCGCGCCUAACACAUGCAAGUCGAACGAGCGAGAGAGAGCUUGCUUUCUCAAGCGAGUGGCGAACGGGUGAGUAACGCGUGAGGAACCUGCCUCAAAGAGGGGGACAACAGUUGGAAACGACUGCUAAUACCGCAUAAGCCCACGACCCGGCAUCGGGUAGAGGGAAAAGGAGCAAUCCGCUUUGAGAUGGCCUCGCGUCCGAUUAGCUAGUUGGUGAGGUAAUGGCCCACCAAGGCGACGAUCGGUAGCCGGACUGAGAGGUUGAACGGCCACAUUGGGACUGAGACACGGCCCAGACUCCUACGGGAGGCAGCAGUGGGGAAUAUUGCACAAUGGGGGAAACCCUGAUGCAGCGACGCCGCGUGGAGGAAGAAGGUCUUCGGAUUGUAAACUCCUGUUGUUGAGGAAGAUAAUGACGGUACUCAACAAGGAAGUGACGGCUAACUACGUGCCAGCAGCCGCGGUAAAACGUAGGUCACAAGCGUUGUCCGGAAUUACUGGGUGUAAAGGGAGCGCAGGCGGGAAGGCAAGUUGGAAGUGAAAUCCAUGGGCUCAACCCAUGAACUGCUUUCAAAACUGUUUUUCUUGAGUAGUGCAGAGGUAGGCGGAAUUCCCGGUGUAGCGGUGGAAUGCGUAGAUAUCGGGAGGAACACCAGUGGCGAAGGCGGCCUACUGGGCACCAACUGACGCUGAGGCUCGAAAGUGUGGGUAGCAAACAGGAUUAGAUACCCUGGUAGUCCACACUGUAAACGAUGAUUACUAGGUGUUGGAGGAUUGACCCCUUCAGUGCCGCAGUUAA